AUGACGUCGGUUCCCUGUCCGUCGGCACCGCUGCACAGUCCGCACUUCUUUGGACUUGACGUUGACCUCGACCUUCAUGCUGGCAUCGCAGUGCCCAGAGACGCCGCAGAUGAAAUAUCGGGUCCCGACGGUGGCAAGCGGAACAACAUCGUUACCGGUCGAGAAAGUCGCUAUGGGGCUGGAGCCGUUGCAAGAGUCGUACCCUGUCUUGCUCACCUCCACCAUGUUGUGCACAUCGGUGGAGUACUGGAACUUGAGCUCAUCGCCGGUGGUGAACCUGAUUCUGGAAACCCACUGGGAGUAGUUGGUCUGAGGUCCCACGAACCGUUCGGCGCUCCCACGGUGUGGCUGGCGCCGAGCGCCGUCCCAAGCAUGGCCAUGGCCACGGUGAUCAGAAUAAGAGCUUUGGUCCCCAUGGAUUAA
rnacentral:rRNA from 1 species